CCUACGGGUGGCAGCAGUGAGGAAUAUUGGUCAAUGGGCGCAAGCCUGAACCAGCCAUGCAGCGUGAAGGAUGACGGCCUUACGGGUUUUAAACUCCUUUUAUAAGGGAAUAAAGUGAUGCACGUUGGCCUUUUUGUAUUUACUUUAUGAUUAGGGAUCGGCUAACUCCGUGCCGGCACCCGCGGUAAUACGGAGGAUCCGAGCGUUAUCCGGAUUUAUUGGGUUUAAAGGGAGCGUAGAUGGGUUGUUAAGUCAGUUGUGAAAGUUUGCGGCUCAACCGGAAAAUUGCAAUUGAUACUGGCAGUCUUGAGGACAGUUGAGGUAGGCGGAAUUCGUGGUGUAGCGGUGAAAUGCUUAGAUAUCACGAAGAACUCCGAUUGCGAAGGCAGCUGACUGGACUGCCACUGACAUUGAUGCUCGAAAGUGUGGGUAUCAAACAGGAUUAGAUACCCGAGUAGUC
rnacentral:rRNA from 1 species